AUUGAACGCUGGCGGCAGGCCUAACACAUGCAAGUCGAGCGGAUGAAGGGAGCUUGCUCCUGGAUUCAGCGGCGGACGGGUGAGUAAUGCCUAGGAAUCUGCCUGGUAGUGGGGGAUAACGUCCGGAAACGGGCGCUAAUACCGCAUACGUCCUGAUGGAGAAAGUGGGGGAUCUUCGGACCUCACGCUAUCAGAUGAGCCUAGGUCGGAUUAGCUAGUUGGUGGGGUAAAGGCCUACCAAGGCGACGAUCCGUAACUGGUCUGAGAGGCUGAUCAGUCACACUGGAACUGAGACACGGUCCAGACUCCUACGGGAGGCAGCAGUGGGGAAUAUUGGACAAUGGGCGAAAGCCUGAUCCAGCCAUGCCGCGUGUGUGAAGAAGGUCUUCGGAUUGUAAAGCACUUUAAGUUGGGAGGAAGGGCAGUAAGUUAAUACCUUGCUGUUUUGACGGUACCAACAGAAUAAGCACCGGCUAACUUCGUG
rnacentral:rRNA from 1 species